AUAUGAAGAAAGCAUGGUAAUGUGCACAGGGAAUGAAGGAAAAAAUAGGGUCAUUAUGUCUGCUCACUUUGAUGCACUCGGGUGAUGAUCUCGUGAGCCUGGAUUGCACCCACACCU
rnacentral:snoRNA from 1 species